CAUUUAUUUACAAUGGACGAAAUGGCUAAAGCUCACGAUGUUACACUUCCUCGAUUGCCACCAUAUCACAGUGAGCUAAACUCCAUUGAACUAAUCUGGAUAAAUAUAAAAACUUAUAUAGCAAAGAAAGAACUUUUAAUCUAGAACCUAUAAAAUUUCUGUAGGCGAUUUAUCAGGUAAGUGUGGAGACAUGGAAUCUGCAUUAUGCACAUACCUAAAAGCACAAUGAAUAUGGGACUUCGACACAAAUUGAAGUUAUAAUAGAACCACUUACCAUAGCUUUAAGUGACACCAGUGAUAGCAACAACAGUAAUUAGUCAGUUUGCUAAUGCUGAUAACAGUCGUUUUCGGAAUUAUUGAAUCCGCACUACCGUAUAAAUAAAAAAGUACAUACUAUUGGAUAUACCAAAGUGAACAUAAAUUUGUAAAUAUAAAUCUAAAUUGCGACCUCCACAUUUCCCGUGAACAAUGAACUCGGACGAGGACCAUCGGUGGACAACACCCCAUAACUUCGACAUUUUCAACACAAAUGACUUGAAAAAAUUUGCAUGUGUAGUUCAAAUAUUAAUAAAAAAUGUCAAAGUUUGA